AGUGAACGCUGGCGGUAGGCCUAACACAUGCAAGUCGAACGGCAGCACAGUAAGAGCUUGCUCUUACGGGUGGCGAGUGGCGGACGGGUGAGGAAUACAUCGGAAUCUACUUUUUCGUGGGGGAUAACGUAGGGAAACUUACGCUAAUACCGCAUACGACCUACGGGUGAAAGCAGGGGAUCUUCGGACCUUGCGCGAUUGAAUGAGCCGAUGUGGGAUUAGCUAGUUGGCGGGGUAAAGGCCCACCAAGGCGACGAUCCGUAGCUGGUGUGAGAGGAGGAUCAGCGGCACUGGAACUGAGACGCGGUCCAGACUCCUGCGGGAGGCAGCAGUGGGGAAUAUUGGACAAUGGGCGCAAGCCUGAUCCAGCCAUACCGCGUGGGUUAAGAAGGCCUUCGGGUUGUAAAGCCCGUUUGUUGGGAAAGAAAAGCAGCAGGUUAAUACCCCGCUGUUCUGACGGUACCCAGAGAAUAAGCACCGGCUAACUUCGUG
rnacentral:rRNA from 1 species